UGCUUGUGGCCCACAGUGGCCACAGCGACAGAAGAGAGCGCUGGAUGCUGCGGUGGCGGAAGAAUCAUGAGCCAUGGUUACCUUUUUAGAGCUUUCUUAGGAGGAAGGGGAGAGAGAGAGAGAGAGAGAGAGAGAGACAGAGACAGAGACAGAGAAAGAGAGACAGAGACAGACAGAGAGAAAGGAAGAGAAAGAGAGAGACAGAGAAAGAGAGAGGCAGAGAGAGGGAGAGAGAGGGAGAGAGACCACACGGAGGGGAAGUACAGAGGGGAUACGGAAAGAGAGCCAUGGGCGGGCAUGCCCGUUUUUUAGGCUGGGACACCGUCUCAGGCUGAUGACGUAAUAAGGACAUAAUCCUUACACUAUGAUCUCCAGGCAAGCUUUAUUUGUUAGAGCACAAACAAACUAUCACCAUGCUCACCUGUUCCUGGGACUGGUAGGAACAACGUGCAUCCCUCAUGGAGCCAAUGCCAGUGUUACCCAGAAAGCCUGACGCGAAGCUUGCUCUGGAACUAACGCUUACUGAGUGACCCCAGCAGUUUCUUUAGACCCUAGAGCUCUUGUCAGCGACCCGUUUUCUGAAUGGAGACAUCGCUGAGCUUUGAAGUCAUCAUUUAUCCUGCAAGAGCUGCUAAAAGAAGCGCUUUGGAGCUCGCAUCCUGGCAAAGGCUGGGAAUUCUAAGUCACCUCCCAGGGCUCGGGUAAAUUGCAAAGAGGAGCGUCUACUUAUCUCAGGGAGUCAAUUUUAACUUAUUGCUUUUUCCUCUGAAGAUAGUUUUCUCAAACAUCCCCCCCCCCCCCGUUUUCAUUGCACAUUCUAUCUUAGGUUGUACGAAUUAGCUGUUUCUGAUUUAUUGAUGACAAGUAGUUAGCCAUGAGGUAACCCGUGACUUCCUUAUCAUUAACCAUUGAGCUAAACACAAGUUUUGAAACUUGGCCUUUGGCAAGCCUAGGGACACAUUGCAUUUUCCCUAACUACUCAAAGACAAUUACAUUCCAUAUAAAAGUCUUUCUUCCUCAGCCUAUGAGAUGGACAAUUAGGAAGCUUGACCUGAACCUCUGUGCCUGGAUUCAAGUCCUACUCUUGCCAGUGAUUAGAACUGUGACCCUAGGCAAGCUCCUGGGCUUCUCGGUACCUUACUUUUCUUGGUUUGAGAGAGACACACAGACCAGAAAAACGGUGUUUCAAAAAACCAAAACAAUAACAACAACAAAAAAGACGAAAACCAAACAGCAGGCAGUCCAAGGACAAUUCGAGAGAUUUCGUCAAUUCAGAAUAAGCCAGGGAACUGACUGGGAUUCACUUUAAGACGAGCAGAAGAGUGACUUUAAGGAGAUCAGAGGGAGCGAACUGGGGCUAUUUUAUUAAUUCUCAUAAGAGAACAAAAUCCCAAGAAAGAGCAGGAAGUGAUAUAAGAAUAACAACAGACUGGGGCUGCAAGUUUCCCAGAACUUUUCAUUUUCAUACACACACGCCUCAUUUUCCACACGAGAUGCUUGGGAAUGCCACCUUCUUACCGUAGCUUUGACAAGGAUGGGAGAAUCUGUCCACGCACAGGACUUUGAUUUCCAGGAUUAUCAGCAAACGAAAAGCUAUAAUAGUGUCCCCUUGCCA